rnacentral:rRNA from 1 species
UCCGGUUGAUCCUGCCGGACCCCACUGCUAUCGGGGUGGGACUAAGACAUGCAAGUCGUGCGCCUCCAAGCCACGGUGGAGGCGCGGCGCACAGCUCAGUAACACGUGGCUAACCUACCCUUGGGACAGGGACAACCCCGGGAAACUGGGGCUAAUCCCCGAUAGGUGAGGACUCCUGGAAUGGGUCCUCGCUGAAAGGGCGUCUAGACCAUGCUUCUAGACGCUGCCCAAGGAUGGGGCCGCGGCCGAUCAGGUUGUUGGUGAGGUAACGGCUCACCAAGCCUAAGACCGGUACGGGCCGUGAGAGCGGGAGCCCGGAGAUGGACACUGAGACAAGGGUCCAGGCCCUACGGGGCGCAGCAGUCGCGAAACCUCCGCAAUACGCGAAAGCGUGACGGGGCCACCCCGAGUGCCGUCCGCUGAGGACGGCUUUUCCCCAGUGUAGACAGCUGGGGGAAUAAGGGGAGGGCAAGUCGGGUGUCAGCCGCCGCGGUAAUACCCGCUCCCCGAGUGGUGGGGACGCUUAUUGGGCCUAAAGCAUCCGUAGCCGGCUGGACAAGCCCCCUGUUAAAUCCAGCGAUUUAAUCGCUGGGCUGCGGGGGAUACUGUCCAGCUAGGGGGCGGGAGAGGCCGGCGGUAUUCCCGGGGUAGGGGUGAAAUCUUAUAAUCCCGGGAGGACCACCAGUGGCGAAGGCUGCCGGCUGGAACGCGCCCGACGGUGAGGGAUGAAAGCUGGGGGAGCGAACCGGAUUAGAUACCCGGGUAGUCCCAGCUGUAAACGAUGCGGGCUAGGUGUUGGCACGGCUACAAGCCGUGUCAGUGCCGCAGGGAAGCCGUUAAGCCCGCCGCCUGGGGAGUACGGCCGCAAGGCUGAAACUUAAAGGAAUUGGCGGGGGAGCACCACAAGGGGUGAAGCUUGCGGUUUAAUUGGAGUCAACGCCGGG